rnacentral:misc_RNA from 1 species
AGAUGAUAUCACAAACGAUGAUGGUAUACCGGAACUAUUGAACUGGUGGAGGAAUCGUGGAGAUCAAUUUCCAAAACUUAGUAGGAUGGUGAAGGAUGUGCUUGCAAUUCAAGGAUCAUCAGUAGCUUCAAAGGCAACUUUCAGCGCGGGCAAGAUUUCAAAUUGGAGACCACAGAUAUUCGUUAGCAGAAGACAGCCUGGAGAUAUCAGUGUUAUUUAGAGACUGGAUAAAUGCUGAGCGUAGAAAUCAAGGACUUCCAAAGUUAGAUAGUCAAUUUGAACUUUUCAU